AAAAAAACCACCACCAAAAACUCAUACAUAUGCCCCUUUCCCAUUUCCCACCACCAACUCAUUCACCAUGGCAACCAUAUUACCUAGAGAUGAAUCUGACUACGACAGCAGCUCUUCCUCAAUAACCAUACCUGACUCCAGCCGUAGCUGGAUGAGCAACCUCAGCUUCGGCAGCAGUCGAAGCUCUGUCUCCAUCACGUCUUCUUUAUCUGAAUCUUCACUCUCAUCUUCCCACAAGCCACACAAGGCCAACCAAGUCUCAUGGGAGGCCAUUAAGAGGCUACAAAUCGCCAGUGGCCGAGUUGGGCUCGAUCAUUUUCGUCUGCUUCGCCAGUUAGGCAGUGGAGAUUUAGGGAAUGUCUAUCUUUGCCAGAUAAGAAACCCUGUGGUGGGUUUGCCUCAGUGCUUUUAUGCCAUGAAAGUGGUGGAUAAAGAAACACUUGCUUUAAGGAACAAGUUGCAGAGAGCUGAAAUGGAGAAGGAGAUUCUGGGCAUGCUCGAUCAUCCUUUUUUGCCUACUCUGUACGCAGAGUUCGAGGCUUCUCAUUAUUCAUGCUUGGUGAUGGAGUACUGCUCCGGUGGAGAUUUGUAUGCUGCUAGGCAACGCCAGCCAGGAAGGCGCUUUAACAUUUCAUCUGCUAAGUAAGUCAUUAAGUUCUGUUUAAUUGUGUUAGAAUUUCUAUAUAUUAAUUGUGUAGCUAUGCUUUUCUCUUUUGGCUUAUAUUUGCACUGUAUGUGAACUUUCUUUCUAAAGCACAUUAUUAGUGUGUACUUAUCAAUCUGUUUCCAAAUGAAAUAAGGAUGUGAAUAAUGACGCUUUUAUCUUCCGGGUUAACUUCAACUAAUUAUGUUAAGCGAUGAUUAUGUUUAUGUGUUCAGGUUUUAUGCUGCUGAAACCCUUUUAGCCCUAGAGUAUCUCCACAUGAUGGGAAUUGUUUACAGAGACCUUAAGCCAGAAAAUGUGUUAGUAAGACAAGAUGGUCACAUAAUGCUUUCAGAUUUCGAUCUUUCUCUCAAAUGCGAUGUGGUUCCAAAGCUUCUAAGGUCUAAAAAACCCAACUUCGAAGCCGUUGAUCACAAGUAUGAAACUUGUUUUACACCAUCUUGCGCCACACCCAUACAGCCUGUGCUUUCUUGUUUCUCAGCUUCCAACGAGAGGAAGAAACCUUCUAGAGUCACAACAAUUACAGAACGAGUUGAUGGUGGUCAUCAUCAAGAAAGUCAAGAACUUGACCCAGAAUUGGUGGCUGAACCCAUCGACGCUCGAUCCAAGUCGUUUGUUGGUACCCACGAGUACUUAGCACCGGAGGUGAUCUCAGGGCAAGGCCAUGGAAGUGCAGUGGAUUGGUGGACUCUAGGGGUGUUCUUGUACGAGAUGUUAUAUGGAAGAACACCUUUCAAAGGUGAAAACAAUGAGAGAACCUUAAUUAACAUCCUUAAACAGCCCUUAACCUUUCCAAGAAUUGUGGUUAGCAGUAGCAAAGAACUUGAAGAAAUGGUAAAAGCCCAAGAUCUUAUAAGCAAGCUUCUAGUGAAGAAUCCCAAGAAGAGAAUUGGCAGCUUAAAGGGCUCUGUUGAACUCAAGAGGCAUGGCUUCUUCAAAGGAGUGAAUUGGGCUUUGAUUAGGUCAGUUAGGCCUCCUGAGCUCCCAAGUGAUGCUUGCAGAAUUACAAGUAGAGCUCACUUACCAAAAUUGAGUAAGAAAGAAAGAGAAGCUCCAUAUCAGAUCCCUCAUCAUUUUGAUUACUUCUAAUUAAACUAGUAAAUGUAAAUAAAUAAAUAAUAGGCAAAACAGGAAGCAAAACUAUCAAUGUAUGACACCAAAGAUCGAGUUGUUUCCAUUGUUUUUCCUGGAAAUGAGAGAUUUAUUAAUAUAUUGAAUUGGAGAAUUAACUAAUCAAUGUAAAGUCUUAAUUAAUUUACAGAGAUUAGAUUAAUUAAUUAAUUAGAUUACCAUAGUACUUGACCUGUAUUAUUGACCUGUAUUAUUGUUUCCCAA
rnacentral:misc_RNA from 1 species